ACAAUACAUAAUUUUUAAUGUAUCAUGAAACAUUUAUUUUUACCUUAAUGUCAUGGUAUUUAAUGAACUUAAAAAGUGUAAAAUUUCAAUUUCAUAAAUCUAGUAUGCUGUAUUAAAGUUAAGACCUGAGUUAUCUUAGUUUAAUAUGAAAUAUAUAGACCACUGAUUAAAAAUACUGAAACUAACAAACGCCGCAACUAUCACCUUCCCAAGCUCCCAACAUUUGAUGUCGAGCCUUGAAGAAUUUUGUUUAACUUCGCAUAAAAUUUCAGUUCUUUUGAUUCAUAUCCUAAAAUUUUGCUGUAUCCAAAAAUAAGUUCUGCUGGUUAAAGCUAAUUAAAUAAAUGGGUACAUAAAGUAAAAUUAAAUAAAUUAAAUGGGAACUAUGGUAAUGAAAGAAGUUCUAAUCGUAUUAUUUAAUGGAUAUUAAGUAUUAUUAGAAAGUUUACGUGAUUUCUAAGUCACGGGUUUCAUUCAAGUAAGGUACGUAAUUGACUCAAUACCUAUAUUUGUGUGUAUAUGGUAAUACGUUGUAACGUAAAUCAUAAACGCAUGGACCUGUUUAUCUAAUCGCAAAGAGAAGCUUAAUUGGUUCGUUUGAAUCACGCCACUAUGAAUGACGAAUACAAAACGAUUUCGUUAGUGUGUGGACUUUGGCUCAAUUGGCUGCAUAAUUAGUAGGAGAGCUGAGACGACCGCGGGUUACAGAAGUUAUCUUAAUUAUCUUCCGAUUUACAGUUCGAUGACAUCUGGGAGGAAAGCCAUGUGUUCUCAGAUAUAAGGAAGAAAUUUGUAUUUUUACAUAUCUGCGGUGGAAAACUAAAAAAAAAACACUUUGCUGUUCGCCUCAGCGCAGCCCAAGCUUGACCGGGCUGAGAGAUGGACAGAAUAAGCUUACCGGAUGCGUGUUUAUCUAUUGAGACCAGUCAAGUGUUGCGCAGCGCCGCGCCGUGAUCUUGAACUCUACAACCUACUACUUUGGAAUUUUUCGAAUAAAUAAAUUUGUUUAAUUUUACGUAC